CCUACGGGAGGCAGCAGUGAGGAAUAUUGGUCAAUGGACGCGAGCCUGAACGAGCCAAGUAGCGUGAAGGAUGACGGCCCUACGGGUGGUAAACUGCGUUUAUAAAGGAAUAAAGUGAGGCAAGUGAGCCGUUUUGUAUGUACGGUAUGAAUAAGGAUAGGCUAACUCCGUGCCAGCAGCCGCGGUAAGACGGAGGAUCCGUGCGUUAUCCGGAUUUAUUGGGUUUAAAGGGAGCGUAGAGGGGUUGUUAAGUCAGUUGUGAAAGUUUGCGGCUCCACCGUAAAAUUGCAAGUGAUACUUGCAGUCUUGCGUGCAGUUGAGGUAGGCGGCAUUCGUUGUGUAGCGGUGA
rnacentral:rRNA from 1 species